AAGCCCUUUUGAAACCUUUUAUCGCUGCAUUGGAAUUUGAAUGGGAAAAACCGAAAUACCAGAACACCUGAAAACUUCUAAGAUUUUCAGCUCUACUAUAGCUGCUACCACCUCCAGAACAGGACUCAUGUACCACAAUGACCCCUCUAGCCCAUCAAAGAACCACAUGGCAAUGUUAACAGGAAGUAGCUUUUACAUUUAAACAAUGCUGAUAGCAAAGGAACCACCUGCCAUCAACUGCCUUACUGCAUCCUGACAUCAGUUCCAUGAUUGCAACAUGGCAACCUGAACUUCAGAGACCACAGAGAAGAAAAACAAUUUGCUUCAGAGUAAGUGCCAUCAUACUCCACAUCAGAGUUGUACAUUAGGAUUACGAAUCUUCUCCAGGUAAAGUGUGCCAUCCUUGGACUUUGAGCAAUUUACUAAUGACCAAAAAGAGAAUGCUGACAGAACAAAAGAUAACUUUAUUUAAUUCACUUUCAUUAAAAUAAAAAUCAAUUAAUGUGCAAUAUCAUUAAAAAUUCACAAUUCUAUGGCCACUAUUCAUCCACUUUAAACCAUCUUACAAAUCCUUAGAGACAUCUAGAGAGAUUUUCUUAAAAAAUACUGGUAAUUUCCAGAAGAUGAACCAACAAUGACUAUUAACUUCACUUAAGAGUAUGAUUUUUUUAUCCAUAAAUUCCAUUUUCAGAUGAUAAAGAACAAAUCACUAUACUUCUGUAACUCCUGAUUUCAAGACAAUCAGAUCCUAUAAAUGCAUUUGGAAACAACAGAGACUGAAACCCAGAGACUGGGAUGCCCAUUAUCUCCACUUUUAUUUAUCUUAACCCUAGAGUUAUUAUUGAAUGAGGUCAGAAGGAACCAAGGAAUUAGAGGUCUAAGAAUCAGAGGGGAAGAGUUUAAACUCCAAGCCUUUGUGGACGAUUUGAUAUUUGUCUUGGAAGAACCUUUGGAAUCGGGACCAAUCUUGCUCCAGGAGUUGGAGGCUUACGGGAAAGUAGCGGGAUUUAAAUUAAAUAAAGAUAAAACCAAGAUCCUAAUUAAGAAUAUGACGAAGAAUCAAAAAGUGCAGUUAGAGGAAGAACUAGGGAUUCAGAUAGUUAAAAAACUGAAAUACUUAGGAAUUUGGCUUUCAUCCAAAUGCUUGACCAUUAAAGAAGACAACUACCAGAAACUACUUGGUCAAACUAAAGAAAUGCUGGAAGGAUGGAAAGGUUUACAGUUAUCAUUAUUAGGUAGAAUUGCAGUAGUUAAGAUGUAUAUCCUGCCUAAAUGGAUUUUUCUCUUUCAGACAGCCCCAGUUUUAUUAGAUACAAUUUUUUUUCAAUCUUUAGAUCAAUGUAUAUGUAGAUUUAUAUGGCAGAACAAAAAACCAAGGAUUAAAUUGAAAAUGCUUCAAGAAUCCCCUUCCAGGGGAGGAUUUGGCCUACCUAAAUGGGAGCUUUAUCAUCAAGCAGCUGUCUUAAAUUGGAUCAGAGACUGGAUUGUUUUGAGGAGGAGGAGAAUCCUUAGCUUGGAAGGCCACACUUUGCAACAGGGGUGGCAUUAUUAUCUGAGUCAGGAAAGGCCCAAAAAACAUAAAUACUUUAUGGACCACUUUAUCUGAAAGGUUUUGAUGACUAUUUGGGAUCGAAUAAGAAAUAAAUAUUACCUGAUGACUCCGAUUUGGCUUUCCCCUUUAGAGGCGAUGAUACACCCGACUCUUUAUAACAGAAAUAAACCAUUAAUUUACCAAGUUCUGUUGGAUCCUUUAGGCAAAGUAAAAUCUCGAAAUACGCUGGAGGAAUUAGGCUAUGAGCUAGAUUGGUGGACAUACAAUCAGAUCCAAUCCAGGACAGCUCAGGAUAAAAACAAGGGAGGAAUUCCCUACUGGAACUUGAUAAGAUCCUGUUGGGGAAGGAUGAGAAGGUAUUAUCCAAACUGUAUCAAUUCCUCUUAAUGGAUUGGAUUGGAGAGGAGGUUAUCAAGGACUCAAUGAUUGCCUGGGGGAGAAAUUUGGGAUAUUCGAUUGAACUUGAAAAAUGGGAAGAAAUUUGGGGGAAAACCUUAAAAUUAACAAUGUCGGUUUCCUAUUAGGAAAAUAUAUACAAAAUGCUUAUAGAUGGCACCUGCCCCCGGCUAGAUUA